rnacentral:lncRNA from 1 species
GCCAAUUCUGUUGGUGCAGAAUUUCAUCGAUGCUGGAGAAGCUGGAGUCGAGAUGACCGCGGCCACCAUCGGGACCUGCAAGGGAAGUCUAAAUCAGAGUUGGGGGUGCUCCGAUAAGAUCCUCCGAUGCUCAAGUCAGUACUCUGCUUUAACAGAAAUGGAGCACUCGAAUAGAAUUUUGGCAGAGUUUUGAGAUAGAGUUUUUGGCUUAGAGAAGAACGUA